GAAAAGGUUAUAGGGGCUACAAGGCUGGCUUGAAACCAGUUUUAGGGGGUUCGACUCCCUCCCUUUUCA
rnacentral:tRNA from 1 species